GGCCAAGAUCGAAGUAUUUUAUAUCCAACUCCAGAAAAGGCAAGAUGAGCUUAUCCUUAAUUAAUUUCCAAAUGACACGGGUCAUUUCAUCUCCGUCCAUUUCAACUAUGGGGUUAGCCACUUUGAUCUUUUGGAAAGCCAUUUUCAGUGAAAAAUUGAGAUCAAGAACUGGAAAUUCUGGUACUAUAAAGAGUAAUGGUGUUUGAUAAAGAAAAUUUCGCCUGCGGGAGAAGCUUAAAUUGUAACGAAAUGGGGAAAAAAUAAUAUUAUUUUGGAGGGGUUGAAG
rnacentral:misc_RNA from 1 species